UUUAAGGGAAGCUUUCUACCACCAUUAUCUUAAAACUGUGUUGACGUGCAUGUACACAGGCCUACAUACAUCCCAUACAACUUUCACCAUGGACUCGACAAAGAUGAAGACACCACACAUCCUGUGUACAUCGAAAUGGAUGAAAAAUCGACACAUGUGUCUACAGAGUUUAAAGUAGUUGCAGAAGGCGAGGUAGUUUCUGUUGUUGAUGAUGUAACAACAGCAGUCGCGUGCUACAUUUCCUCGUUUUUUGUAUUUCACCUGCAGUACAUCCCAGAACUAGUGAAGACAAUUGCUUUUUAUCAAUAUGGUGUUCUUAAGAUUGACGACCAGACUGGUAUUCAUAGUUCAUAUUCUUUGGAUUCCGUGACCAUUUAUUUGCUACCUUUUUUUUUCGAUGGAUUUGACGUCAGGAACCAUUUAAAAAAAAAAAAGCUCCUAUGAACCUCUGAAAUGUGAUAGGAACUUUUUUUAUUGCGCAAUAUUCAA